AUGGAGGGGCUCCUGUCUGCGCUCUGCCUGCUUGGGGCAGCGAGAUGGGCCCUGGCCCAGGUGUUUCAGCCACCCCGGCUCACCACCGUGGAAGGAGGAAAGCUCCUGAUCCAAUGCAACCAGAAUGUCACUUCUGCAGACCAAAUGUCCUGGUACCAUCAGUCUCUGCAGGGGCGAGGGGGCCUGAUCUUCCUGGGGAGCGGGUUUGAUGGGACCUCAUCCGUGGGGGAAUUCACCCUGACUGUGGACAAGACCUCUCGCUUCACAAGCCUCACCCGGAACGGCACCAGGCUUCGUGACGCUGGCAUCUACUACUGUGCUGUGAGCACACAGCAAUGGGCGCAGAGGCACCAGCUGCACAAAAACCCCAGCCCAGCUUCCUGCUGA